rnacentral:rRNA from 1 species
GUUAAGCGACUAAGCGUACACGGUGGAUGCCCUGGCAGUCAGAGGCGAUGAAGGACGUGCUAAUCUGCGAUAAGCGUCGGUAAGGUGAUAUGAACCGUUAUAACCGGCGAUUUCCGAAUGGGGAAACCCAGUGUGUUUCGACACACUAUCAUUAACUGAAUCCAUAGGUUAAUGAGGCGAACCGGGGGAACUGAAACAUCUAAGUACCCCGAGGAAAAGAAAUCAACCGAGAUUCCCCCAGUAGCGGCGAGCGAACGGGGAGCAGCCCAGAGCCUGAAUCAGUGUGUGUGUUAGUGGAAGCGUCUGGAAAGGCGCGCGAUACAGGGUGACAGCCCCGUACACAAAAAUGCACAUGCUGUGAGCUCGAUGAGUAGGGCGGGACACGUGGUAUCCUGUCUGAAUAUGGGGGGACCAUCCUCCAAGGCUAAAUACUCCUGACUGACCGAUAGUGAACCAGUACCGUGAGGGAAAGGCGAAAAGAACCCCGGCGAGGGGAGUGAAAAAGAACCUGAAACCGUGUACGUACAAGCAGUGGGAGCACGCUUCGGCGUGUGACUGCGUACCUUUUGUAUAAUGGGUCAGCGACUUAUAUUCUGUAGCAAGGUUAACCGAAUAGGGGAGCCGAAGGGAAACCGAGUCUUAACUGGGCGUUAAGUUGCAGGGUAUAGACCCGAAACCCGGUGAUCUAGCCAUGGGCAGGUUGAAGGUUGGGUAACACUAACUGGAGGACCGAACCGACUAAUGUUGAAAAAUUAGCGGAUGACUUGUGGCUGGGGGUGAAAGGCCAAUCAAACCGGGAGAUAGCUGGUUCUCCCCGAAAGCUAUUUAGGUAGCGCCUCGUGAAUUCAUCUCCGGGGGUAGAGCACUGUUUCGGCAAGGGGGUCAUCCCGACUUACCAACCCGAUGCAAACUGCGAAUACCGGAGAAUGUUAUCACGGGAGACACACGGCGGGUGCUAACGUCCGUCGUGAAGAGGGAAACAACCCAGACCGCCAGCUAAGGUCCCAAAGUCAUGGUUAAGUGGGAAACGAUGUGGGAAGGCCCAGACAGCCAGGAUGUUGGCUUAGAAGCAGCCAUCAUUUAAAGAAAGCGUAAUAGCUCACUGGUCGAGUCGGCCUGCGCGGAAGAUGUAACGGGGCUAAACCAUG